GUUUCCUUAGUUUAAUGGUUAAAACCGUAUUCUUCUAAAGUACAAAUUUUGGUUCAACUCCAGAAGGGAACU
rnacentral:tRNA from 1 species